CUUACGCACUUGGGUCCGGAAGGCCACAUGUGUCUUUGUGGACUGUCACACGUUACCGGGAAGCACAAAUCUGGCUGCGCCACGUUACCGCCAGCUCUGAGGAUCCCGUUACCGAAGGGCUUCCAUUCUCGACUGGCGUACAAUCCUCCGCGUGAACCUUCCUCAGCUCGCCGGAAAGAAGGAACGGGUGUUUCAGAAGUGACGCUUCUCCAUAUUUGCGGGGAUUUCGACAUCAUCAUAAUCAUCUAGAGGCUCGAUGUAGCUCGGGAUGGAGAGGGUCUUAUUUCUAACCUUAUUGACCAGCGAGUAUGUGGCCGGCGGCUGGCUCGGGGUGUCCUGUGGGACUAGAGCACACGAAAAGGUCCUUGCAGGCCAAGCUGCUGUGUGUUCUCGCAUAUAUAUAAAAAGACGGAGACAGUGCACGUGGGGGAGGGACAGAGAAUCCCAAGCAGGCUCCGUGCUGCCAGUGCAAAGCCGUACGCGGGGCUUGAACUCACGAAACCGUGAGAUCAUGAGCUGAGCCGAAACCAGGAGUCGGACGCUCAACUGGCUGAACCACGCAGGCGCCCCCAUAUGUAUUUUUGACCCAGUGACUCAGCAUGAUUUUCAUGGGCUUGGGUGGUCUGGCUACUUCCUGGUGGACCAGCUCCCCAUUUGAUGGGGGACACUGUUGUACAGAGAGGACACCGUCUCGGGAUCAGCCGAGUGGGUGAAUGGCAGACGGCAGUCAGACGCCCUGGCUCCCACGUCCCCCUGCCUGAGCCCGCAAAGCAGAAGUGCAGACGGCACGCUGACCCGAGCCAGUCCCCGAAUGAGCACGGUCAUGGGAGGCCCUCAUUCUCACGAGGAAGUGAUACGAAGCUUAUUUCCUUUUUGGCACGUCCCUCACAGUGACUUAGUGUUUUCCAGGACAUUCCAUGAUUGCUCGGGCACGAAUCUCUGCUCAGAAGGGACAGCGGGGUUUGCAAAAGGUAGAAUGAGUGAAGAGGGAACACGUAGCAAAAGCCCCAAGGUGGCCGCGGGAAGGAAGACGAAGCGGCAGCUAGACCUCAGACCCUCAGAUGGGGUCGCCGCGGCCUCUGCCGCGACUCUGUCUUUCCCAAGAGGACCUGGGAAGAAGACCGCCGUCAUUCCCUGCACAGCCCUGCAGUGAGACCCAAGUUCACAUCCAGGCUCCAGCAGUCACACUCGCUGUGUCGCCUUGGGUGAGACACUGAACUUCUGUGUGUCUCAGUGUCCCCGUCUGUCAAAGGGGGAUAAUAAAUGCGCCCGCCUCGUAGUGCCGUGGAGAGGCCGACAGGAGAUCGUGCCUGUGAAGUGCGUCACACGGGCCCGGACACAUGGGGGCUGCCCCAUACAUGUAAGCUAUUAUGUGUCCAUUCGGUCAAGACCUGAAUUGUCUCCUAACCUCCAGGCACCGUUCUUAGUGGCCGGUAAACCGUGGUGAGGAAGACGAGAGGCCCCUGUUUCCCGGAGUUUCUGUUCCAGGGCAGGAGAGAGAUCUUAAACACACGAGCAGCAGAUGGACGAGGAUGACAAGGUCUCACUCCUUGUGGAGCCCGGACCUUUCGGCGACUGGCGAGCAGGGUUCUGAGGCUGUCCCAGACGCCGUGGCAGAAAACUGCUUCGUUGGGGAAUGAUUGACCCAGAAAAGGCUGUGCGUAUCCGGUGUCUACAACACGUGUACCACUCGAUGUGAUUGGAACUGAGACAGCCUCUGACAUUCUCUGGACUCGUGCUGUCUUCUGAGUCCCAAAGAACUGAAAGCAGAACCCUCGUUCAAGAGCUUCCAGCACGGGCAAGACCUCAGCCUUCAGCCGUGCCCUGUUCGGCGUAAUUACAACCGCGGUAGGAAAAUGCGUCUCAGAAAAGUCACCCUCACCGUGUGCUACCCGGUGCCCUACGCGCCCCUCUCAUUCAAUCCCCUGCACUGCGGCUUGUGGUUACCACCCCGUUUUACAGAUAAGACCAUGGGAGCUCAGAGAUCGAAACUACUGGCCCAGGGGCACGGAGCCAGUGAGCGGGAAAACCAGAAACCAAACCCAGGUCUUUGGGACUCCAGGACCCUAACUCGCGACCCCCAAACGGGGGCUCUGGGAAAUGUGUGAAAGCACAGAUGCCAGUCCCAGGCCCCUUCUCUGCCCCCAGUUCUGAUCUGUAGGUCCAGUGUCGGACUCGGGAUCAGCAUUUUUAACAAGCGCUCCAGUGGUGGGGGGCGGGGGGGCUCAGCCUCCGGGUGGGACGGACAUCCAUCGGGCCAGUUGGCAGAGCCCCCCCAGCUGGGGCAGGUGAGGGAGCCCCACAGUCAGAGGCGGUAGCAGCACUGGUGGGAGAGGGAAAGGCACCAAAAAAGCCCCUGAACCAAAUGCCCGAGAUGCUUCUCGUAAUGCCCCAAAUUCCAUCAUCGACAAGUCACUUCUCUGCCAAGUUCCCCCGCUCUCCCCACUUCCUCUCCAUUCAAACUCAUUUGCCUGGGUGUGCCAGACUCUGAGGAAGAGAAACUGAUUUUUACUAGGGUGUGAAUGACUUCCUUGGGUCCUCAGGGCACUGGGUUCCUUUCUUGAAUUCCCUCAGGCAUUGGCCAGAGCAGGGGCAUCCUAGGAUCUUGUCCAGAGUCCUCAGAGGAUAUAACCGAAUGCGAUUUAGGAACAAAGACCGUCUUAUCCAGGCUUCCUCCUCCUGCUAGUCACCGCCCCCCCCCCCAUCUCAGUGCUCUUUGUUCCCUCUUCCCCUUUCUCCUUAGUCAUCCUGCCCUCAGGACAGACUCUGAAUCUCAUUCACACUGCGACCUCCGUAACUGAUAACAGCUUAAGUGUGUGUGGGGGUGGGGGAGGUGCUCCACCGUCAGGGUGAUGAAAACCCAGAAGGCAAGAGAAGCUGGGACACUGAGGCCGAGGAAAGGUUGCCUCGACCGGGGCUGGGUG